CCUACGGGAGGCAGCAGUGAGGAAUAUUGGUCAAUGGGCGGAAGCCUGAACCAGCCAAGUAGCGUGCAGGAUGACGGCCCUACGGGUUGUAAACUGCUUUUAUACGGGAAUAACGCGCCUUACGUGUAGGGCUUUGCAUGUACCGUAUGAAUAAGGACCGGCUAAUUACGUGCCCGCAGCCGAGGUACUACGGAAGGUACGGGCGUUAUCCGGACGUAUUGGGUUUAAAGGGAGCGUAGGCCGCAUGUCAAGCGUGCUGUGAAAUGUCCGGGCUCAACCCGGGCCGUGCAGCGCGAACUGGCGUGCUUGAGUCCGCGGAAGGCAGGCGGAAUUCGUCGUGUAGCGGUGAAAUGCUUAGAUAUGACGAAGAACCCCGAUUGCGAAGGCAGCUUGCUGCAGCGGAACUGACGCUGAUGCUCGAAAGCGCGGGUAUCGAACAGGAUUAGAUACCCGGGUAGUC
rnacentral:rRNA from 1 species